CCUACGGGAGGCAGCAGUGGGGAAUAUUGCACAAUGGGGGAAACCCUGAUGCAGCGACGCCGCGUGAGGGAAGAAGUAAUUCGUUAUGUAAAGCUCUAUCAGCAGGGAAGAAAAUGACGGUACCUGAUUAAUAAGCCGCGGCUACCUACGUGCCACCAGCCGCGGAAAUACUGAGGGGGCAAGCGUUAUCCGGAUUUACUGGGUGUAGAGGGGGCGUAGGCGGCAGGGCAAUUCUGGAGUGAAAGGCGGGGGCUCAACCCCCGGACUGCACUGGAAACUGUACUGCUGGAGUACAGGAGAGGUAAGCGGAAUUCCUAGUGUAGCGGGGAAAUGCGUAGAUAUCGCGAAGAACACCGGUUGCGAAGGCAGCGUGCCGGACCGACACUGACGCUGAGGCACGAAAGCGCGGGGAUCGAACAGGAUUAGAUACCCGGGUAGUC
rnacentral:rRNA from 1 species